AGCCUGUCAGACCGCCGUGCGACCACACCGGCAAGGAUAAGACCGAGCCGAGUAACGAUCCUCUACAGCACCGGACCGAUCUAAGGAUUGAUCUUGGCCGUUAAUCACGCUCUAGCCGCACGGUCAUGGUUCAUCAACCAGGGUUAAGGGCCUGUCUCCUUAGAAAUCAAGGAUACAGAGGUACGAGCCUAUAGAACAGAUCCUGUUCAAGUAAGGUCGU
rnacentral:snoRNA from 1 species